rnacentral:rRNA from 1 species
AACGAACGCUGGCGGCAUGCCUAACACAUGCAAGUCGAACGAGACCUUCGGGUCUAGUGGCGCACGGGUGCGUAACGCGCGGGAACCUGCCCUUAGGUUCGGAAUAACUCCCCGAAAGGGGUGCUAAUACCGGAUAAUGUCUUCGGACCAAAGAUUUAUCGCCUUUGGAUGUGCCCGCGUUGGAUUAGCUAGUUGGUAGGGUAAAAGACUACCAAGGCGACGAUCCAUAGCUGGUCUGAGAGGAUGAUCAGCCACGCUGGGACUGAGACACGGCCCAGACUCCUACGGGAGGCAGCAGUGGGGAAUGUUGGACAAUGGGCGAGAGCCUGAUCCAGCACUGCCGCGUGAGUGAUGAAGGCCUUAGGGUUGUAAAGCUCUUUUACCCGGGAGGAUAAUGACAGUACCGGGAGAAUAAGCGCCGGCUAACUCCGUG